UGGGGAAUUUUGGACAAUGGGCGAAAGCCUGAUCCAGCAAUGCCGCGUGUGUGAAGAAGGCCUUCGGGUUGUAAAGCACUUUUGUCCGGAAAGAAAUCCUUGGCUCUAAUACAGUCGGGGGAUGACGGUACCGGAAGAAUAAGCACCGGCUAACUACGUGCCAGCAGCCGCGGUAAUACGUAGGGUGCAAGCGUUAAUCGGAAUUACUGGGCGUAAAGCGUGCGCAGGCGGUUUGCUAAGACCGAUGUGAAAUCCCCGGGCUCAACCUGGGAACUGCAUUGGUGACUGGCAGGCUAGAGUAUGGCAGAGGGGGGUAGAAUUCCACGUGUAGCAGUGAAAUGCGUAGAGAUGUGGAGGAAUACCGAUGGCGAAGGCCAGCCCCCAUGGGCCAAUACUGACGCUCAUGCACGAAAAGCGUGGGGGAGCAAAACAGGAUUAGAUACCCCUGGUAGUCCACGCCCUAAACGAUGUCAACUAGUUGUUGGGGAUUCAUUUCCUUAGUAACGUAGCUAACGCGUGAAGUUGACCGCCUGGGGAGUACGGUCGCAAGAUUAAAACUCAAAUGGAAUUG
rnacentral:rRNA from 1 species